rnacentral:rRNA from 1 species
CACGGGGGGAGCAAGCGUUGUUCGGAAUCACUGGGCGUAAAGCGCACGUAGGCGGAUUGUUAAGUCAGGGGUGAAAUCCUGGAGCUCAACUCCAGAACUGCCUUUGAUACUGGCGAUCUCGAGUCCGGGAGAGGUGAGUGGAACUGCGAGUGUAGAGGUGAAAUUCGUAGAUAUUCGCAAGAACACCAGUGGCGAAGGCGGCUCACUGGCCCGGUACUGACGCUGAGGUGCGAAAGCGUGGGGAGCAAACAGG